UACGGGGGGAGCAAGCGUUGUUCGGAUUUACUGGGCGUAAAGGGCGGGUAGGCGGCCACCGCAAGUCAGUUGUGAAAUCUCUGGGCUUAACCCAGAAAGGUCAACUGAUACUGCGGGGCUAGAGUGCAGAAGGGGCAACUGGAAUUCUCGGUGUAGCGGUGAAAUGCGUAGAUAUCGAGAGGAACACCUGCGGCGAAGGCGGGUUGCUGGGCUGACACUGACGCUGAGACGCGAAAGCGUGGGGAGCAAACAGG
rnacentral:rRNA from 1 species